rnacentral:tRNA from 1 species
GGCGGCAUAGCUCAGCCUGGCUCAUAGCGCCACGCUCAUAACGUGGAGAUCCCGUGUUCAAAUCACGGUGCCGCCA